rnacentral:rRNA from 1 species
UCAAGUUUUUAAGGGCACAUGGUGGAUGCCUUGGUACCAGGAACCGAUGAAGGACGUUGGAAUCUGCGAUAAGCCUCGGGGAGUCGAUAACCGGACUGUGAUCCGAGGGUGUCCGAAUGGGGAAACCCGGCGAGAUUCGUGUCUCGUCACCCGCAUCUGAACUCAUAGGGUGUGUGGAGGGGACGUGGGGAAGUGAAACAUCUCAGUACCCACAGGAAGAGAAAACAAUUGUGAUUCCGUGAGUAGUGGCGAGCGAAAGCGGAUGAGGCUAAACCGGGCGCAUGUGAUAGCCGGCAGGUGUUGUGUGUUCGGGGUUGUGGGGUGCGUUUUUAUCCAGGCUGCCGUCUGGGUGUGGAGUGAGAAAUCUGCGUGAUAGUCGAACCGUUUUGAAUGGCGGGCCGUAGUGGGUGGUAGCCCCGUAGGCGAAAUUGCGUGGACUCCAUGGGCGUAUUCCCGAGUAGCACGGGGCCCGAGAAAUCCUGUGUGAAUCUGGCGGGACCACCCGCUAAGCCUAAAUAUUACCUGGUGACCGAUAGCGGACAAGUACCGUGAGGGAAUGGUGAAAAGUACCCCGGGAGGGGAGUGAAAUAGUUCCUGAAACCGUGUGUCUACAAUCCGUCGGAGCCUCUGUGUGGGGUGACGGCGUGCCUUUUGAAGAAUGAGCCUGCGAGUUAGUGCUCCGUGGCGAGGUUAACCUGUGUGGGGUAGCCGUAGCGAAAGCGAGUCCGAAGAGGGCGUUCAUAGUCGCGGGGUCUAGACCCGAAGCGGAGUGAUCUACCCAUGGCCAGGGUGAAGCGCCGGUAAGACGGCGUGGAGGCCCGAACCCACUUAGGUUGAAAACUGAGGGGAUGAGCUGUGGGUAGGGGUGAAAGGCCAAUCAAACUCCGUGAUAGCUGGUUCUCCCCGAAAUGCAUUUAGGUGCAGCGUUGCGUGUUUCUUGCCGGAGGUAGAGCUACUGGAUGGCUGAUGGGCCUUACCGGGUUACUGACGUCAGCUAAACUCCGAAUGCCGGUAAGUGAGAGCGUGGCAGUGAGACUGCGGGGGAUAAGCUUCGUAGUCGAGAGGGAAACAGCCCAGAUCACCAGCUAAGGUCCCUAAGCGUGUGCUAAGUGGAAAAGGAUGUGGAGUUGCCGUGACAACCAGGAGGUUGGCUUAGAAGCAGCCACCCUUGAAAGAGUGCGUAAUAGCUCACUGGUCAAGUGAUUCCGCGCCGACAAUGUAGCGGGGCUCAAGCACACCACCGAAGCUGUGGCAAUCACACAUUUCCCUACCUUUUGGUCAGGGGUGUGGUUGGGUAGGGGAGCGUCGUGUGGCGGGUGAAGCAUCGAAGUGAUUCAGGUGUGGACGCUACACGAGUGAGAAUGCAGGCAUGAGUAGCGAAUGGCAAGUGAGAAACUUGCCCGCCGAAUGACCAAGGGUUCCAGGGUCAAGUUAAUCUGCCCUGGGUAAGUCGGGACCUAAGGCGAGGCCGACAGGCGUAGUCGAUGGACAACGGGUUGAUAUUCCCGUACCGGCGAAGGACCGCCCAUAUCGAAUCCAGUGAUGCUAAAUGCCCGAAGCCGCUGGUGCACGUCUUUGGCGUGUGUCGGAUUGGUGGAGCGCGUGACCCGAUCUGGUAGUAGGUAAGUGAUGGAGUGACGCAGGAAGGUAGCCUCCGCGUGGCGAUGGUUGUCCACGUCCAAGCAUGUAAGGCGACAUCUAGGUAAAUCCGGGUGUCAUGUGCCCCAGGUGUGAUGGUGACCCCGUGUGGGGGAAGAGGGUGAUCCUAUGCUGUCGAGAAAAACUUCUAGCGAGGUUCGAGCCGCCCGUACCCGAAACCGACUCAGGUGGUCAGGUAGAGAAUACUAAGGCGAUCGAGUGAAUCGUGGUUAAGGAAUUCGGCAAAAUGCCCCCGUAACUUCGGGAGAAGGGGGGCCAUGAUCGUGACCCGGCGUUGCUCGGUGAGCGUGAGUGGCCGCAGAGACCAGGGAGAAGCGACUGUUUACUAAAAACACAGGUCCGUGCGAAGACGUAAGUCGAUGUAUACGGACUGACGCCUGCCCGGUGCUGGAACGUUAAGGGGACCGGUUAGCUCCUUUUGGGGCGACGCUGAGAACUUAAGCGCCAGUAAACGGCGGUGGUAACUAUAACCAUCCUAAGGUAGCGAAAUUCCUUGUCGGGUAAGUUCCGACCUGCACGAAUGGCGUAACGACUUCUCCACUGUCUCAACCGCGAACUCGGCGAAAUUGCAUUACGAGUAAAGAUGCUCGUUACGCGCAGAAGGACGGAAAGACCCCGGGACCUUUACUACAGCUUGGUAUUGGUGUUCGGGACGGCUUGUGUAGGAUAGGUGGGAGACUGUGAAGUGCCCGCGCCAGCGGGUGUGGAGUCAUCGUUGAAAUACCACUCUGGUCGUUCUGGAUGUCUAACUUCGGUCCGUGAUCCGGAUCAGGGACAGUGCCUGGUGGGUAGUUUAACUGGGGCGGUUGCCUCCUAAAGGGUAACGGAGGCGCCCAAAGGUUCCCUCAGCCUGGUUGGCAAUCAGGUGUUGAGUGUAAGUGCACAAGGGAGCUUGACUGUGAGACAGACAUGUCGAGCAGGGACGAAAGUCGGGACUAGUGAUCCGGCCGUGGUGUGUGGAAACGCGGUCGCUCAACGGAUAAAAGGUACCCCGGGGAUAACAGGCUGAUCUUGCCCAAGAGUCCAUAUCGACGGCAUGGUUUGGCACCUCGAUGUCGGCUCGUCGCAUCCUGGGGCUGGAGUAGGUCCCAAGGGUUGGGCUGUUCGCCCAUUAAAGCGGUACGCGAGCUGGGUUUAGAACGUCGUGAGACAGUUCGGUCCCUAUCCUCUGCGCGCGUAGGAAACUUGAGAAGGGCUGUCCCUAGUACGAGAGGACCGGGAUGGACGAACCUCUGGUGUGUCAGUUGUUCUGCCAAGGGCACCGCUGAUUAGCUACGUUCGGGAGUGAUAACCGCUGAAAGCAUCUAAGCGGGAAGCACGCUUCGAGAUGAGGUUUCCAUGGGCCCUUUUGGGCCUGUGAGGCUCCCAGCUAGACGACUGGGUUGAUAGGCCAGAUGUGGAAGCGCAGUAAUGUGUGUAGCUGACUGGUACUAAUAAGCCGACAACUUGACCUUC